UACAUAGGGUGCAAGCGUUGUCCGGAAUUAUUGGGCGUAAAGAGCUCGUAGGUGGUUCGAUACGUCGGAUGUGAAAAUCAGGGGCUCAACCCCUGACCUGCAUUCGAUACGGUCGAGCUAGAGUGUGGUAGGGGAGACUGGAAUUCCUGGUGUAGCGGUGGAAUGCGCAGAUAUCAGGAGGAACACCGAUGGCGAAGGCAGGUCUCUGGGCCAUUACUGACACUGAGGAGCGAAAGCGUGGGGAGCGAACAGGAUUAGAUACCCUGGUAGUCCACGCCGUAAACGGUGGGCGCUAGUUGUGCGAACCUUCCACGGUUUGUGCGACGCAGCUAACGCAUUAAGCGCCCCGCCUGGGGAGUACGAUCGCAAGAUUAAAACUCAAAGGAAUUGACGGGGCCCCGCACAAGCAGCGGAGCAUGCGGCUUAAUUCGACGCAACGCGAAGAACCUUACCAAGGCUUGACAUAUACAGGAAUACGGCAGAGAUGUCGUAGCCGCAAGGUCUGUAUACAGGUGGUGCAUGGUUGUCGUCAGCUCGUGUCGUGAGAUGUUGGGUUAAGUCCCGCAACGAGCGCAACCCUCGUUCUGUGUUGCCAGCAUUUAGUUGGGGACUCACAGGAGACUGCCGGGGUUAACUCGGAGGAAGGUGGGGAUGACGUCAAAUCAUCAUGCCCCUUAUGUCUUGGGCUGCACGCAUGCUACAAUGGCUGGUACAAACGGCUGCAAUACCGCAAGGUGGAGCGAAUCCGAGAAAGCCAGUCUCAGUUCGGAUUGGGGUCUGCAACUCGACCCCAUGAAGUCGGAGUUGCUAGUAAUCGUAGAUCAGCAACGCUACGGUGAAUACGUUCCCGGGGCU
rnacentral:rRNA from 1 species